GGAAUAUUGGUCAAUGGGCGCAAGCCUGAACCAGCGACGCCGCGUGCGGGAUGAAGGGGCUUUGCCUCGUAAACCGCUGUCGGAUGGGACGAAAGAUAGCUUUGAGCUAUUGGGACGGUACCAUCAAAGGAAGGAUCGGCUAACUACGUGCCAGCAGCCGCGGUAAUACGUAGGAUCCGAGCGUUGUCCGGAGUUACUGGGUGUAAAGGGUGCGUAGGCUGUUCUGUGCGUCAGAGGUGAAAUCCACGGGCUUAACUCGUGGGGUGCCUUUGAUACGGCAGGGCUUGAGUACGAGAGAGGUGCGUGGAAUUCCUGGUGUAGCAGUGAAAUGCGUAGAUAUCAGGAGGAACACCGGUGGCGAAGGCGGCGCACUGGCUCGUAACUGACGCUGAGGCACGAAAGCGUGGGGAUCAAACAGGAUUAGAUACCCUGGUAGUCCACGCCUUAAACGAUGCAUGCUUGGUGUUGGUCUCGCAAGAGAUCAGCGCCGUAGUUAACAUGAUAAGCAUGCCACCUGGGGAGUACGAUCGCAAGGUUGAAACUCAAAGGAAUUGACGG
rnacentral:rRNA from 1 species